CUUCCUUCUUCCAGAUUGUAUAAGACCUUCAUGCCUAUUCAAGGCAUUCUAAAGUGCUUAUUGUUUCUCAUUAUUUGAUUAUUUGUUUCUCCUUUUUUUUUAUUAGGUAAUAAACUCCUGACAAGACUGUCUUGAGUUACCAUUUUGCCACACUUAUGGAGUUUAGUCCUUUUUUCCUUGCUUUGGAAACUACUUUCUCUCAUUCUUGGUACUGGGAUACUCAACAACAUGGACUUCUAGGAGAAAGACCUGAAUGUAGCUUCACCUCUCUCCUUUCCAAUACGGAGAUCACACUGCAACCUCUGCCAGAUACUGCAGCAUAUUCCACAGCUGGUACUUUCAAGCCUGAGGAUACAGCGUGAAGGUACAUCAUAUGUGGGAUGAAGACCAGGCAUGUCAAGAAAUCCUGUUCGGCUUUUCUUUUAGUCACUGAAUUCUAUUCUGCUAUCACAGAUCACACUGCAACCUCUGCCAGAUACUGCAGCAUAUUCCACAGCUGGUACUUCCAAGCCUGAGGAUACAGCGUGAAGGUACAUCAUAUGUGGGAUGAAGACCAGGCAUGUCAAGAAAUCCUGUUCGGCUUUUCUUUUAGUCACUGAAUUCUAUUCUGCUAUCAGCUCUGGGCAUUUUUGUGAUGUUUACCAGCUCAGUUACUUUUGUCAUUCCUUUAAAUGUGCUUACACUUUGUUUGACUUUGUGAGAAGUGUUAUAGUUUUACAUAUAGAGGAGUAAGCAUAACCAAUAAUAUCUAAAUUAUUUGCUUGUUUUACCCCAAAGAAACUGUCUCUAGAUGAAAUAUAAUUCUAAGUAUUCUAAUUCUGCUGAGUGCUCUGCUGCACUGGUUGCAAAAGUCGAAUGGUAUAAUCUUCAGUACUAAUCAGAAGCUCUGGGCAAGGAAUGAACAUUUUAUGCCUCAUCAAUCUGUGUCUGCCAAAGACCUUGCAAAAAAAAGGGAGUUUUGAUUGGUUAAUGUAUGCACAUCUUGAGAAUUUUAGCCCUCUGAAUGUAAGAAAUUCUACUGCCUGAACAGGUGAGUAAAAUGCUAGCUAGCACACUAGGAGAAAUCCAAAGCUGAACAAUCUACAGUUUCUUGGUAAACCUCUACAGCUUUUCUUUUUACACAGGCCAUGUGAAACAUCAGUAUCAAAAAUAGCUCUAAAACACCCCUAUGCUAGUAUGUCAUUGUGUCUGGCUAGAUCCCAUCUAAAAAAUGUCUGGGGUAUAUAAGAGGACUUUUGUCAUUGUUAAUAGUGAAGGUUAAAUGUCUCCUUAAAGCCUAUGGAUCCAUGGAGCUAACCUGUUAUACCACUUUCAGCAGCCAGUGCCACACAUCGGUAGAUGCCAAUACUUUGGGGCUGUAUUCACUGUGGCAGCCCUCAGCCUCCUAGCAAAACUGGAGCUAAUUCCUUUGCAUCCAACCAGAGCUGUCUUAAUGGAUAUGCCACUAUUAUUUAUAACAAGGAAGUGUCAAAAUGAUACAUAGAGUCCUUGAUUCUCAGCCAUGCCAAAUGUCUGCACAGCAUGGCAGAGAAGGUACUAGAGAGCCUAUUAAAUAUCCUUACAAGCACCAGCAUCAGCUGAGACUAGAGCAGUCAAGUGGAUUGUGCCUAUAACAGAGAGCACUGUAGCUAUACUAAGAGGAGCUACUAGCUUCUUCUAGUCUGGCUGAUGGGUAAGGCACGUGCUAUGUGUAUGAGCUAUCUUUCUGCUUGUGGUUCAUUCAUGUGAGAGAGAUGCUCACCUGGAGAGAUUUAGAUGGUCUCCAGUAUCUUUACCCCAUCAAUCUGACAAAAAAGAGAAUAUUUGAUCCAAUAGAGGUCCCAAACUUCCCUUUAAAGACAUUUCUAUAAACAUCUUUCUAAAGAAAUGGACUUUUCAGGAGCAUUCUUCAACACAAAAUAUUUUACAAGAUUAGCCUGGUGAUUAUUGCAGUCGCUGUCAAGAUACAAGGAAUUAUAAAUUAUUUUUCAGUUUGCUAACCAGGAUUUUUUUAAAAUUAAACCAUUGUAUUAAAUUUCAGCAUAAAAUACCAAGUAAUAAACAAAAUAAAAGCUAUUACUUACUUUCAACAGGUAGGUGAUUUACGCUAUGCAAAUUAAGUGUCACCAUGGAAAAACAUUCAGACACUUUAAAAAAAUAAUGAAAAGUUAUGCCUCCAUAAAUCAUCAUGUUACUGGUUCAUUUAAUCAUUUUCCUGUCUUAUUCUGAUGCAUUUCAGAACUCAUAAUCAUAUUAGGCAAGGCAAACCAGAGAGAGUUUGGGAGACUGAAAACUCUCCUAAGUGUGCACACAGCUAAUCAGGAACUCCAGCCUCUGCAAACAGGACAGCUUGUUCCCAGAUCUUCUGUAGGAGGGAAGGGCUGUGUAGCUCAGUAUCACAUUCAACAGCUGCUAUUCAGGAACUGACCAUCCAAGAUAAUUGAGAUAAAAUACCUGCUUCUACAGGGAUGUAAAGACAAGAUCAUUUGGAACAGAGUCAGAAGUGUAUCACCUUUCAAGACAGAUUCAUAUUUCAAAAAGAAAGCGGGGAGGGAGACUGUGUGGAGGGCUGUAACCUUGUUGGAAAGCCUUUUUGGAACAAUGCAGUUGUGUUAAAGGCAUGGGUCUGAUGUCUUAAGAAGUGUGAAGUCAGAUGUAUGUGCAUCUCCUCUUUCACAGCUCUAUUGCCUUAGAUUGCAGCUAUCACUUUCAAGCAAUUGAAAAUGCAUGUUGGCAAUUGUAAAUCUGUAUGUGACAUUCUAGUAAGGAAAGACAAAGCUAUAAAAACAUAGUGCCAUAAAUGCACUGACUUGCCUCCAGUGUCCCAUUUUCA